rnacentral:rRNA from 1 species
GACGAACGCUGGCGGCGUGCUUAACACAUGCAAGUCGAACGAAGAGCGAUGGAAGCUUGCUUCUAUCAAUCUUAGUGGCGAACGGGUGAGUAACGCGUAAUCAACCUGCCCUUCAGAGGGGGACAACAGUUGGAAACGACUGCUAAUACCGCAUACGAUCUAACCUCGGCAUCGAGGAUAGAUGAAAGGUGGCCUCUACAUGUAAGCUAUCACUGAAGGAGGGGAUUGCGUCUGAUUAGCUAGUUGGAGGGGUAACGGCCCACCAAGGCGAUGAUCAGUAGCCGGUCUGAGAGGAUGAACGGCCACAUUGGGACUGAGACACGGCCCAGACUCCUACGGGAGGCAGCAGUGGGGAAUCUUCCGCAAUGGACGAAAGUCUGACGGAGCAACGCCGCGUGAGUGAUGACGGCCUUCGGGUUGUAAAGCUUUGUUAAUCGGGACGAAAGGCCUUCUUGCGAAUAGUGAGAAGGAUUGACGGUACCGGAAUAGAAAGCCACGGCUAACUACGUG